rnacentral:rRNA from 1 species
GUGACUGCGUACCUUUUGUAUAAUGGGUCAGCGACUUAUAUUCUGUAGCAAGGUUAACCGAAUAGGGGAGCCGGAGGGAAACCGAGUCUUAACCGGGCGUUAAGUUGCAGGGUAUAGACCCGAAACCCGGUGAUCUAGCCAUGGGCAGGUUGAAGGUUGGGUAACACUAACUGGAGGACCGAACCGACUAAUGUUGAAAAAUUAGCGGAUGACCUGUGGCUGGGGGUGAAAGGCCAAUCAAACCGGGAGAUAGCUGGUUCUCCCCGAAAGCUAUUUAGGUAGCGCCUCGUGAAUUCAUCUCCGGGGGUAGAGCACUGUUUCGGCUAGGGGGCCAUCCCGGCUUACCAACCCGAUGCAAACUGCGAAUACCGGAGAAUGUUAUCACGGGAGACACACGGCGGGUGCUAACGUCCGUCGUGAAGAGGGAAACAACCCAGACCGCCAGCUAAGGUCCCAAAGUCAUGGUUAAGUGGGAAACGAUGUGGGAAGGCCCAGACAGCCAGGAUGUUGGCUUAGAAGCAGCCAUCAUUUAAAGANCAGCUAAGGUCCCAAAGUCAUGGUUAAGUGGGAAACGAUGUGGGAAGGCCCAGACAGCCAGGAUGUUGGCUUAGAAGCAGCCAUCAUUUAAAGAAAGCGUAAUAGCUCACUGGUCGAGUCGGCCUGCGCGGAAGAUGUAACGGGGCUAAACCAUGCACCGAAGCUGCGGCAGCGAACGUAUCACCCAAGACAACUUUACGGAGUUGACGAUUGACGGAGCGAAGCGACGUCAAAGCGUUCAUUAAAGUCGAGUUGGCUUAGGGAUACGUUCNAAAGCGUAAUAGCUCACUGGUCGAGUCGGCCUGCGCGGAAGAUGUAACGGGGCUAAACCAUGCACCGAAGCUGCGGCAGCGACGCUUAUGCGUUGUUGGGUAGGGGAGCGUUCUGUAAGCCUGUGAAGGUGGCCUGUGAGGGUUGCUGGAGGUAUCAGAAGUGCGAAUGCUGACAUAAGUAACGAUAAAGCGGGUGAAAAGCCCGCUCGCCGGAAGACCAAGGGUUCCUGUCCAACGUUAAUCGGGGCAGGGUGAGUCGACCCCUAAGGCGAGGCCGAAAGGCGUAGUCGAUGGGAAACGGGUUAAUAUUCCCGUACUUGGUGUUACUGCGAAGGGGGGACGGAGAAGGCUAUGUUGGCCGGGCGACGGUUGUCCCGGUUUAAGCGUGUAGGUGUGUGUUCCAGGUAAAUCCGGUUCACUUUAACACUGAGGCGUGAUGACGAGGCACUACGGUGCUGAAGCAACAAAUGCCCUGCUUCCAGGAAAAGCCUCUAAGCAUCAGGUAACAUCAAAUCGUACCCCAAACCGACACAGGUGGUCAGGUAGAGAAUACCAAGGCGCUUGAGAGAACUCGGGUGAAGGAACUAGGCAAAAUGGUGCCGUAACUUCGGGAGAAGGCACGCUGAUAUGUAGGUGAAGCGGUUUACCCGUGGAGCUGAAAUCAGUCGAAGAUACCAGCUGGCUGCAACUGUUUAUUAAAAACACAGCACUGUGCAAACACGAAAGUGGACGUAUACGGUGUGACGCCUGCCCGGUGCCGGAAGGUUAAUUGAUGGGGUCANAGUCAGUCGAAGAUACCAGCUGGCUGCAACUGUUUAUUAAAAACACAGCACUGUGCAAACACGAAAGUGGACGUAUACGGUGUGACGCCUGCCCGGUGCCGGAAGGUUAAUUGAUGGGGUCAGCGCAAGCGAAGCUCCUGAUCGAAGCCCCGGUAAACGGCGGCCGUAACUAUAACGGUCCUAAGGUAGCGAAAUUCCUUGUCGGGUAAGUUCCGACCUGCACGAAUGGCGUAAUGAUGGCCAGGCUGUCUCCACCCGAGACUCAGUGAAAUUGAACUCGCUGUGAAGAUGCAGUGUACCCGCGGCAAGACGGAAAGACCCCGUGAACCUUUACUAUAGCUUGACACUGAACAUUGAGCCUUGAUGUGUAGGAUAGGUGGGAGGCUUUGAAGUGUGGACGCCAGUCUGCAUGGAGCCGACCUUGAAAUACCACCCUUUAAUGUUUGAUGUUCUAACGUGGACCCGU